CAGUGCGACGUCGGCCGGCGAGCGGGACGGACGCGUGUCGGCCUCGUAUAUAUAAAAUACAAAUCGAUGUAUAAAUAUAAAGAGUUAUAGUGUAUGCAGUCGGUGUCGUACCUUGAUAUUUCGUAAGUGCAGUGCCAUAUGGCGCCGGUGUUAUCUUACAUGUAAUCUUUUAAUAUUAGCAUACGAUUUCUUGAAACUUAUGAAAUAAAACAUGGCACGUAACAUUUUAAAUUACACAAUCGCCUUUAUUGUAAUAUAAAUUGAACAAUAUUGUUUGAGAUUCAGAAAUAAAACACAGAGCGAUAACGAGUGAAGUCUAGAUUCAGAAAUGAAGUUGUGGAAAAAAUAUCAUUUGUGUCGAAAUCUGAGAAUCGAGUCAUCGGACCGUCUCUGAGUGAAGUUUAGUGUCGGACAUGAAGCAGUGUUGAAGUGGAGACGACGAUGCAUCUUCAAAGUGACGUGUGUGACAUCAGCUAUGGGGACGAGAAGGAAAUAUCGAAGAAGGCUGAGAUGCUGUAUUAUGAACUGAUCAGAGCUCUGGAGGAAGAGGAAAGGAAUUUAAUUGCUGAUGAGAGUGUCGUCGAGCAUGUUAUAUCGGAGUGGAAUUAGAAUCGGAAGGUUUCGGUAAUAUUUUGUAGUUUGAAUAAGAAACGUACUUCAUAAUUAAUGAAUAUCUUCUUUUUAGUAAGAGUUUGAACAAAGUAGCCAAAGUAUCAGCUGUUUCUAAUGAAAAACGUU